GUCGAGCGGUAACAGACAUAAAGAUUCAGCUUGCUGAAUCCGGUGCUGACGAGCGGCGAACGGGUGAGUAACGCGUAGGAAUCUACCCAGUAGCGGGGGAUAGCCCGAGGAAACUCGGAUUAAUACCGCAUACGCCCUGAGGGGGAAAGGGGGCAGUUUACUGCUCUCACUAUUGGAUGAGCCUGCGUAAGAUUAGCUUGUUGGUAGGGUAACGGCUUACCAAGGCGACGAUCUUUAGCUGGUCUGAGAGGACGAUCAGCCACAUUGGGACUGAGACGCGGCCCAGACAUCUACGGAUGGCAGCAGUUAAGAAUAUUGGACAAUGGGGGCAACCCUGAUCCAGGUAUACCGCGUGUGUGAAGAAGGCCCUAGGGUUGUAAAGCACUUUAAUCAGUGAAGAAGCAUUUUAAGUUAAUACCUUAUUAUGUUGACGUUACCUGAAGAAUAAGGACCGGCUAACUCCGUGCCAGCAGCCGCGGUAAUACGGAGGGUCCAAGCGUUAAUCGGAAUUACUGGGCGUAAAGCGCGCGUAGGCGGUUUAGCAAGUUGUAUGUGAAAGCCCUGGGCUCAACCUAGGAACUGCAUCCAAAACUACUAAGCUAGAGUACGAGAGAGGAGAGUAGAAUUUCUGGUGUAGCGGUGAAAUGCGUAGAUAUCAGAAGGAAUACCAAUGGCGAAGGCAGCUCUCUGGCUCGUCACUGACGCUGAGGUGCGAAAGCGUGGGUAGCAAACAGGAUUAGAUACCCUGGUAGUCCACGCCGUAAACGAUGACAACUAGCCGUUGGGCAGAUUUAACUGUUCAGUGGCACAGCUAACGCAUUAAGUUGUCCGCCUGGGGAGUACGGCCGCAAGGCUAAAACUCAAAUGAAUUGACGGGGGCCCGCACAAGUGGUGGAGCAUGUGGUUUAAUUCGAUGCAACGCGAAGAACCUUACCAAUCCUUGAAAUCUAGCGAAGCUCGCAGA
rnacentral:rRNA from 1 species